rnacentral:tRNA from 1 species
UAAAGUCCGCAGGAUAUUACCCCGCAUCACCUGGAUGCAACCCAGGUACUUUAAUUAAGCUAGGACCUU